GUGUCAGCCGCCGCGGUAAUACGUAGGAUGCAAGCGUUGUCCGGAUUUACUGGGCGUAAAGCGCGCGCAGGCGGCAGCCUAAGUACGGAGUGAAAUCUCCCUGCUCAACGGGGAGGGUGCUCUGUAGACUGGGCAGCUAGAGGACGGUAGAGGGGGGUGGAAUUGCUGGUGUAGCGGUGAAAUGCGUAGAGAUCAGCAGGAACACCCGUGGCGAAGGCGGCCCCCUGGGCCGAACCUGACGCUGAGGCGCGAAGGCUAGGGGAGCGAACGGGAUUAGAUACCCCCGUAGUCC
rnacentral:rRNA from 1 species